rnacentral:tRNA from 1 species
AAGAAUUUAAGUUAAUAAAACUAUUGACCUUCAAAGCCAAAUUUAGAUUUAGAUCUAAUUCUUA